AAUGAACGCUGGCGGCGUGCUUAACACAUGCAAGUCGUGCGCGAAGGUGGCUUCGGCUGCCGGAGAGCGGCGAACGGGUGAGUAACACGUGGGCAAUCUGCCUGGGGGUGUGGGAUAACCUGGGGAAACUCGGGCUAAUACCGCAUACGUUGCCGGGACCUUGGUCCUGUCAAGAAAGCUGGCCUCUGUUUACAAGCUAGCGCUCCCAGAGGAGCCCGCGGCUGAUAGCUAGUUGGUGAGGUAACGGCCCACCAAGGCGACGAUCAGUAGCUGGUCUGAGAGGGUGAUCGGCCACACUGGAACUGAGACACGGUCCAGACUCCUACGGGAGGCAGCAGUGGGGAAUAUUGCGCAAGUGGGGAAACCUGACGCAGCAACGCCGCGUGGAGGAUGAAGGCC
rnacentral:rRNA from 1 species